CCCAAAUCUUUUCCCAUUUCAUCACUUUCUCUGCUUUCAUUUUUUCUUUCUCUCUCUCUUCUCUUUCAAUCUGUCGUGACUUCUUCCUCUCCCUCAACCUUCCCCUCUUUGUCUCUUUCUUCUUCUUUCUCUCUCCGAGUCUUCUUUCUCUCUCAGUGCGACAUCUUAUACUUUCUGCUUUCUUCCUCUUCCUUUCCCUUUUUCUUCAUCAUCUUCUUCAUUUCCCAAAACGAAACCGACACGGUUAUCAGUUUUUUUGGAUUUCUGUUUAAAGUUACUAUUUAAAUAUUGUGGUUAGUGUUUUUGUGGUUUAUAUGAUGAUUUUGUGGUUUAUAUGAUGAUUUUGUGGUUACGGUUUUUGUGAUUGUGGUUGAUAUCAUGAUUUUGUGGUUAGGAUUUUGAUGCUGCUAUUGGCCAAAUGGGGGUAUGUUGUACUUUUCAUCUUUCUAACAAAAAUAUGAAUAAUAUUUUCACCAGUUGCUUUUAACAUCCAGAUCUGUGGUGGCAACAACAGGUUACCGGCGAUUAGUGUGGUGGUGGUGGUGUAAACGGGUUUCUGCCGACGAGUGUGGUGGUGGCCGAAAUCAGAAAGAGAUGAAUGGUUGAAGCAGCUGUUGCAGAACAAUCCAUUGUACAUAUAGAACUUCGUCCAUUGCUCGCUUGAUGUGGUUGAUGACUGAGAUUGCAGAAAAACAAAACUUCUUAAUAUUCGAGGAUCGUAAGUGUGCCGACAUUGGUAACACCAUGACCAUGCAGUAUGAAAGGUAAUACAUUACUGGAAAGUUUUAUAAUUUUUGAAAUAACUGACCAUGCGAUUGUUGUUGCUGUUGCAAAAUAUCCGAAGGAGUUUAAUUUGAGGAAUGUGAUAAAGUUGAAACGCUGGUUUCUUAAGGUUUGAAUUGAAUAUUUCGUUGUUCAUUUGGGGUAAUUAAGUUUUGUUUUUUUAAGAAUGUCAUCUAAUAAUCAGAAAUGGUUUUUUUUCACUAAACUGAGAUUGGAUAGGGGAAGGUAUAUAUAGAAAUGAUUGAUAAAUAAUUUAAAUUAUAUGUUACUGAUACUUUUAAUAUUGGUGUUGAUGUCAAUAGGGGAAGUUUGAGGAAGAGGAAGAAGACACUGUUGGUGAGAUGGUGUUAUCAGUUAUAAUACCAUAAGCAGUUCUUAUAGUGUCAUCAAUAGUUUUGUGUUAGUUUUAACAUGAUUAUAUACUACUGUGUUAUAACUUGUGCUGAUUAUUGUCAUUAUUUGGACUAUUUGAACUCACAAGGAGUGGGAGUUCUACUGAGUCUUUCAAGUCCGAAGGAAUUGUUUUAUCAUGUUUUGAUGCUCCUAAAGGAAAUGCGAACAAAGAUUGUCAGGAAGCUUCUGCUUGCCGAAGUAAAACAGAUAUAGACAAUCACUUACUUUUAGGAAAAGAUCAUGAAAGUAAGAGUGUGCCAUAUGAGUUGUACAAAAAGCACACAACUGUAUUUGUUAAGAGAGAAACUUUUCUAGAUAUUGUCUAUGAUGUUCUUACUGACUACAAGUAUGUGGGUCCAAACCAGAGCGCCGACUUGAUGCUAGCUUGCAGCUUUUAAGAGAGUUUCACGACUCUAACUGAUGCCUUUAAGCUUGCAAAUUAAUUCUCAUCAUCUAAAUGUAGCUUCUCAAGAUUCCUGCCCUCCAAAAUUGGUUGUGUUGUGUUUAGAUCACCUAGCUUGUAUACAUGCUAAAACUCUUUUACAUCUAAAUGCAACUUCUUAAGAGUCGAGAUACAUAUUUACAUGGUAGUUAUACAGAUUUGAUCUGAUACAACCAAGUUUGUACCUGUUAGAACUGGCUCUAGAACUAUCCUCUCAUUUGUUGUAUAUUAGCUAGAGUACAUGCAAUCUAAAUCUAAAAGUCAUGUCAA